UACGUAGGGUGCAAGCGUUGUCCGGAAUUAUUGGGCGUAAAGAGCUCGUAGGCGGUCUGUCGCGUCUGCUGUGAAAACUCAGGGCUUAACCCUGAGCUUGCAGUGGGUACGGGCAGACUAGAGUGCGGUAGGGGAGACUGGAAUUCCUGGUGUAGCGGUGAAAUGCGCAGAUAUCAGGAGGAACACCGGUGGCGAAGGCGGAUCUCUGGGCCUUACCUGACGCUCGAGGUGCGAAAGCUAGGGGAGCGAACAGG
rnacentral:rRNA from 1 species